rnacentral:rRNA from 1 species
GACGAACGCUGGCGGCGUGCUUAACACAUGCAAGUCGAGCGGUAAGGCCCUUUCGGGGGUACACGAGCGGCGAACGGGUGAGUAACACGUGGGUGACCUGCCCUCAGCUCUGGGAUAAGCCUGGGAAACUGGGUCUAAUACUGGAUAUGACUCCACGGUGCAUGUCGUGGGGUGGAAAGCCUUGUGCGGCUGAGGAUGGGCCCGCGGCCUAUCAGCUUGUUGGUGGGGNGAUGGCCUACCAAGGCGACGACGGGUAGCCGGCCUGAGAGGGCGACCGGCCACACUGGGGCUGAGACACGGCCCAGACUCCUACGGGAGGCAGCAGUGGGGAAUCUUGCGCAAUGGGCGAAAGCCUGACGCAG